rnacentral:rRNA from 1 species
GACGUAGGGCGCGAGCGUUGUCCGGAUUUAUCGGGCGUAAAGAGCUCGUAGGCGGCUUGUCGCGUCGACUGUGAAAACCCACGGCUUAACUGUGGGCUUGCAGUCGAUACGGGCAGGCUAGAGUUCGGUAGGGGAGACUGGAAUUCCUGGUGUAGCGGUGAAAUGCGCAGAUAUCAGGAGGAACACCGGUGGCGAAGGCGGGUCUCUGGGCCGAUACUGACGCUGAGGAGCGAAAGCGUGGGGAGCGAACAGG